UGGGGAAUUUUGGACAAUGGGCGAAAGCCUGAUCCAGCAAUGCCGCGUGUGUGAAGAAGGCCUUCGGGUUGUAAAGCACUUUUGUCCGGAAAGAAAUCCUCUGGGUUAAUACCUCGGGGGGAUGACGGUACCGGAAGAAUAAGCACCGGCUAACUACGUGCCAGCAGCCGCGGUAAUACGUAGGGUGCAAGCGUUAAUCGGAAUUACUGGGCGUAAAGCGUGCGCAGGCGGUUUUGUAAGACGGAUGUGAAAUCCCCGGGGCUUAACCUGGGAACUGCAUUCGUGACUGCAAGGCUAGAGUAUGGCAGAGGGGGGUUAGAAUUCCACGUGUAGCAGUGAAAUGCGUAGAGAUGUGGAGGAAUACCGAUGGCGAAGGCAGCCCCCUGGGCCAAUACUGACGCUCAUGCACGAAAAGCGUGGGGAGCAAACAGGAUUAGAUACCCUGGUAGUCCACGCCCUAAAACGAUGUCAACUAGUUGUUGGGGAUUCAUUUCCUUAGUAACGUAGCUAACGCGUGAAGUUGACCGCCUGGGGAGUACGGUCGCAAGAUUAAAACUCAAAGGAAUUGACGGGGUCAUAGCUGUUUCC
rnacentral:rRNA from 1 species